UACGUAGGGUGCAGGCGUUAAUCGGAAUUACUGGGCGUAAAGCGUGCGCAGGCGGUUUGCUAGGACAGGUGUGAAAUCCCCGGGCUUAACCUGGGAACUGCGCUUGUUACUGGCAAGCUUGAGUGUGGCAGAGGGGGGUGGAAUUCCACGUGUAGCAGUGAAAUGCGUAGAGAUGUGGAGGAACACCGAUGGCGAAGGCAGCCCCCUGGGCUAACACUGACGCUCAUGCACGAAAGCGUGGGGAGCAAACAGG
rnacentral:rRNA from 1 species